rnacentral:tRNA from 1 species
GUUUCCGUAGUGUAGUGGUCAUCACGUUUGCCUAACAUGCAAAAGGUCCCCAGUUCGAAACUGGGCUGAAACA